rnacentral:rRNA from 1 species
UACGUAGGGGGCUAGCGUUGUCCGGAAUCAUUGGGCGUAAAGAGCGUGUAGGCGGUCCGGUAAGUCCGCUGUGAAAGUCGGGGGCUCAACCCUCGAAUGCCGGUGGAUACUGUCGGGCUAGAGUGCGGAAGAGGCGAGUGGAAUUCCUGGGUGUAGCGGUGAAAUGCGCAGAUAUCAGGAGGAACACCAAUUGCGAAGGCAGCUCGCUGGGACGUUACUGACGCUGAGACGCGAAAGCGUGGGGGAGCAAACAGG